ACUGCGAAUACCGGAGAAUGUUAUCACGGGAGACACACGGCGGGUGCUAACGUCCGUCGUGAAGAGGGAAACAACCCAGACCGCCAGCUAAGGUCCCAAAGUCAUGGUUAAGUGGGAAACGAUGUGGGAAGGCCCAGACAGCCAGGAUGUUGGCUUAGAAGCAGCCAUCAUUUAAAGAAAGCGUAAUAGCUCACUGGUCGAGUCGGCCUGCGCGGAAGAUGUAACGGGGCUAAACCAUGCACCGAAGCUGCGGCAGCGACACUAUGUGUUGUUGGGUAGGGGAGCGUUCUGUAAGCCUGUGAAGGUGUACUGUGAGGUAUGCUGGAGGUAUCAGAAGUGCGAAUGCUGACAUAAGUAACGAUAAAGCGGGUGAAAAGCCCGCUCGCCGGAAGACCAAGGGUUCCUGUCCAACGUUAAUCGGGGCAGGGUGAGUCGACUCCUAAGGCGAGGCCGAAAGGCGUAGUCGAUGGGAAACAGGUUAAUAUUCCUGUACUUGGUGUUACUGCGAAGGGGGGACGGAGAAGGCUAUGUUGGCCGGGCGACGGUUGUCCCGGUUUAAGCGUGUAGGCUGGUUUUCCAGGCAAAUCCGGAAAACUAAGGCUGAGGCGUGAUGACGAGGCACUACGGUGCUGAAGCAACAAAUGCCCUGCUUCCAGGAAAAGCCUCUAAGCAUCAGGUAACAUCAAAUCGUACCCCAAACCGACACAGGUGGUCAGGUAGAGAAUACCAAGGCGCUUGAGAGAACUCGGGUGAAGGAACUAGGCAAAAUGGUGCCGUAACUUCGGGAGAAGGCACGCUGAUAUGUAGGUGAAGUCCCUCGCGGAUGGAGCUGAAAUCAGUCGAAGAUACCAGCUGGCUGCAACUGUUUAUUAAAAACACAGCACUGUGCAAACACGAAAGUGGACGUAUACGGUGUGACGCCUGCCCGGUGCCGGAAGGUUAAUUGAUGGGGUCAGCGCAAGCGAAGCUCUUGAUCGAAGCCCCGGUAAACGGCGGCCGUAACUAUAACGGUCCUAAGGUAGCGAAAUUCCUUGUCGGGUAAGUUCCGACCUGCACGAAUGGCGUAAUGAUGGCCAGGCUGUCUCCACCCGAGACUCAGUGAAAUUGAACUCGCUGUGAAGAUGCAGUGUACCCGCGGCAAGACGGAAAGACCCCGUGAACCUUUACUAUAGCUUGACACUGAACAUUGAGCCUUGAUGUGUAGGAUAGGUGGGAGGCUUUGAAGUGUGGACGCCAGUCUGCAUGGAGCCGACCUUGAAAUACCACCCUUUAAUGUUUGAUGUUCUAACGUUGACCCGUAAUCCGGGUUGCGGACAGUGUCUGGUGGGUAGUUUGACUGGGGCGGUCUCCUCCUAAAGAGUAACGGAGGAGCACGAAGGUUGGCUAAUCCUGGUCGGACAUCAGGAGGUUAGUGCAAUGGCAUAAGCCAGCUUGACUGCGAGCGUGACGGCGCGAGCAGGUGCGAAAGCAGGUCAUAGUGAUCCGGUGGUUCUGAAUGGAAGGGCCAUCGCUCAACGGAUAAAAGGUACUCCGGGGAUAACAGGCUGAUACCGCCCAAGAGUUCAUAUCGACGGCGGUGUUUGGCACCUCGAUGUCGGCUCAUCACAUCCUGGGGCUGAAGUAGGUCCCAAGGGUAUGGCUGUUCGCCAUUUAAAGUGGUACGCGAGCUGGGUUUAGAACGUCGUGAGACAGUUCGGUCCCUAUCUGCCGUGGGCGCUGGAGAACUGAGGGGGGCUGCUCCUAGUACGAGAGGACCGGAGUGGACGCAUCACUGGUGUUCGGGUUGUCAUGCCAAUGGCACUGCCCGGUAGCUAAAUGCGGAAGAGAUAAGUGCUGAAAGCAUCUAAGCACGAAACUUGCCCCGAGAUGAGUUCUCCCUGACUCCUUGAGAGUCCUGAAGGAACGUUGAAGACGACGACGUUGAUAGGCCGGGUGUGUAAGCGCAGCGAUGCGUUGAGCUAACCGGUACUAAUGAACCGUGAGGCUUAACCUU
rnacentral:rRNA from 1 species